CCUACGGGUGGCAGCAGUGGGGAAUAUUGCACAAUGGGGGAAACCCUGAUGCAGCGACGCCGCGUGAGUGAGGAAGUAUUUCGGUAUGUAAAGCUCUAUCAGCAGGGAAGGAAAUGACGGUACGUGACUAAGAAGCCCCGGACAACUACGUGCCAGCAGCCGCGGUAAUACGUAGGGGGCAAGCGUUAUCCGGAUUUACUGGGUGUAAAGGGAGCGUAGACGGUUAAUCAAGUCAGAAGUGAAAACCUAGGGCUCAACCUUGGGACCGCUUUUGAAACUGAGUAGCUAGAGUGCAGGCGAGGUAAGCGGAAUUACUAAAGUAGCGGUGAAAUGCGUAGAUAUUACGGAGAACACC
rnacentral:rRNA from 1 species